CCUACGGGAGGCUGCAGUGGGGAAUAUUGGGCAAUGGGCGAAAGCCUUACCCAGCAAUGCCGCGUGUAUGAAGAAGGUCUUCGGAUUGUAAAGUACUAUAUUGGGGAAGAACACAAUGACGGUACCCAAGAGAAAAAGCCCCGGCUAACUAUGUGCCAGCAGCCGCGGUAAUACAUAGGGGGCUAGCUUUGUCCGGAAUUACUGGGCGUAAAGGGUGCGUAGGUGGCAAUGUAUGUUGGAAGUGUAAUCCCUCGGGCUUAACUCAGGGGCUGCUUCCAAAACUGCAUUACUUGAGUGUCGGAGAGGAAAACGGAAUUCCUAGUGUAGCGGUGAAAUGCUCAGAUAUUAGGAGGAACACCAGAGGCGAAGGCGGUUUUCUGGACGACAACUGACGCUGAGGCACGAAAGCGUGGGGAGCGAUUGGGAUUAGAUACCCGUGUAGUC
rnacentral:rRNA from 2 species